UUGGACCUGAUAUCAGGCAAGAUUACCCGCUGAACUUAACAUA
rnacentral:rRNA from 3 species